ensembl:lncRNA
UUUGAUUAUUCAGUGCUGAUUCUUUCUCUCCUUUCCCAAAAUCCAUCCAGAUUCUCUUUGUUCUCAAGGCAGGACCAUUCCAGAGGCCGUGUAGGUCAACCCCUUUUGUACUACACUCAAGCCAUGUCCAUGUCUCAUAACACAUCAUUUGGAGGUUGAUCUGUUGACCUGGAACUUUGGCUGGUCAGUGUUAGACUGACUUACCUGCAUCUUACAUCAAAAUGAAAACUAUGAUUGCAGAACAACAUCUGAGUCUAUGCGAAGAUUACUGAGACGUGGGCAGUGAGGUAGGAGUUUGCUCUUGCAAAGGACAAAGAUAAAACAGCUGCCAAAGGACAAUUUAGUGCCCAAAGCCAGCCCACAGGUGCAGGCAAUGCUGCAUCUUUUAAACAUUUCUGAUGCAUCUUGCUACAUUGAUCUGCACCUCACAAAUAUGUUCUCUUGCAUUAUGUCAGAACUGACAUGACAUGAGGUAAUUGGAUUUGAUAUGACAUAAUCCACCCGUAACACAACAUGUGAUAGAUGAAAGGACUUUCCCUGAGGCAAGCAGAAGCCAGCUGGUACUGUACAACACCUGCAGAAAGAAACGGGUUUUAAUAAUCUCCCCCUGCCUGACUGGGGUGGCAAGUUGUACAAUCUAUGCACAACCCUAAUUGGUAACUCAGAACGUUUAAUUGUUUUUCAGAAUAACACUUCAUGUUUCAUUGGGUUGGAAGCAAAAUGAGAGUUCAGGAUUUCAUAUCAGAGACGCAUGCAUAAAAGAGAAAAGAAAUCCAAGCUCAGGCUUCCCUUCCAACCACAGGGACGUGUCUACAAGGAGUGACAGCCUGCUCAACACUAUCCCUUCAGGCAGAUGAAGGCCAUUUAUUACUGUUCAUCGUAUUUCACGAGAACCUAGGAGCCUCCACCAGUUUUAGAGGGCCUUGCUCAAGACUCAGAAGUGCAGAACAGAUAAAAUUGGAGGAAUGCUAUUACCUAAGCUUUCAAAUAAUGCAUUAUCUUUUUCAAUUUUGUGAAAUGUAUACCUUUUGGUUUAAACUAAAUCAUGUUUUUAUUCAUGUUAUCUGGCCAAAAUAAAGAACCUCAG